AGGAUGAUUGGGGGAAUGUGAUUCUUAAUGAGAAGGUACAACGGCAGAAGAGUCCUUCCUAGAUCCCCUGCAUGAUGAGGUCCUUAACGCUUCUGUGAAGAAGCAGUGUAUAUACAACACUUGCACUGAGUCCUGGAGGUGCUUCUUUCUGUUCGGCCAUUAGAGCGACAGGCUGAGGAGGCGGCGCAUUCGGCUCCUUCAGACCAACAAGGUUUGUUUGACGCUUUCUUCUCCUGGAAAUGUAGAGAGGAAUUACAGUCACCGUGGAUUGCUGCAGAGGCAAAUCUUUGUUAAAAGUACAUUGCCAGCGUGAAAGACUGGGGCUGUUUUAGCCUGAGCCCCUGCCAAGCUAUGUAGUUGGACCGACGUGUGACCUUUUUCUUCCCUGGUUUCUCUGGAGACAAAGGUGAGCAAGAAGAAAGCUCUGUUUGAACCUCUUGCUGCUGCUUUUCUCUCUCUGCCCCCAGUCAGUGGGGACAAAAAAGACCAGCUGAAGUCUUUCCCCCUCUUGACCUGCUCACCAGAGCAGCGUCUACGUUCAAAACACUCCCCCAUGUCCCCGGCUCUCCCUUGGACAGGGCAACACCACUGAUUUAAAUGUGACCUGACACUCUUUUUGCUUAACAUGCUCUUGGAAAGAGCUUUGCACAUACCGUGCUGAGAGGAGUGGCAGUACCUGUAGAAAUAAAAUCCAGAAAAGGAGAAAAUAACCUUAUUGAAUUUAUUCGUUUCAGUUGCCAUCCCAGUGUGCUACCUCUAACAACUGGGAGUUUAAAAAAUUCUUGUAGAAAUGCCCUGAAUUGUUCCCAGCCCUGCAACAAGGGUGCAAACAGCAGAUUAACAAAAAUCACAGCUGAUACAGAACUGGGAGAGUGAAAGCACCGAUCAAAGAGUAAUCUGCAGGGAUGUAAAGCAAUUAGAAACAUGAGUUAAUGGCCCUUUCCUAGGGCUACUUGUACCAAAGCAGUGGGUUUUGUCAGCAUUUUCCUCCAGGCAGGCGCUACAGUGAGCCAGAUUUGGGAAACACCUCUCAUUGAUAAGGUGCUUAUGGGGACAAGGAGUUCUUGCCCAUCCUCACCCAGCUGCAGGGCAUUUUGCGACCUCCCUCUUCCCAAUAACAUUCCCACACCAACAACCCCAUGGAUAUUUGUUAAAACGCUGGUCUGGAUAAUACCGAUUUUUUUGCACAUGAUAAUGGCUUCAUUUUGCUGCAAGGCACCUCGAAUUAUGCUAAAAACAGCCAUUAGCUCCCUUGGUCAUCACCAAAAUCCUUUGGGUUGUGGUUUUAAUUGCUAAUUAAGUGAUUUCUGCAUACCAAGCCAAAAACAAACAAAAAAAAGCUGUGGCUCUGAUUGUAUUGAAUCCAAAGGAGCGAUCCUUUCCUCCCAGGAGUAGCAACUGGGAUUGAACGGGAAAAUCUUCAUCCCACAGUGGCAUUGCCGGCGGAGCAAGCAGUAGCUCCGCUGCACGUUUGGGAAGCCGGCGCUGGCGGUGACCCAAGGUUUGAAUGCUGCUCUUAGGACCCUUUUCUUCACACCCUUGGGAGCACCAGGGCACGAGACGGGGAUUUUCGGAUGUAUCCCUGAGGGAUUAGACCCUAUCUCCUCCCCAAACUGUUGCUUUCCCUUUCCAGGAGCCAAGUGCAUCCCUGGGGCUGGGGGCAGCUUUCACUUUGGCCCUGUGGAUUUGGCCGGCCGGCCAACUUUGGGGACCUGAGGCUCUGGGUUUGCACGGUCACUUUGCAGCAAGGUCGGAGCCAUCCCUCUUUAUUUUUUUCUGGCGAAAGCAGAUAGCAGUGGGCAAAACUCCCUGGGGAAUUCAGAAAUUGGAGUGAAAAGGGUCUGAGCAUCGGGGCAGGGGGUGGUGAGCGAGAGACCACGUGUGCGCAUCGGGGUUAGAAAUCGCUUCUCCACUGGGCACGCUGUAGGAGAGGAGAGAAAAAAAAGAAAAAGGAGAGAGAAAAAAAUCAGUUGCAGCCGCGUUUUCCAAAAAGCCGGAGCGUUUCUGCUCGCUGGCGCUUCCAAGAAACGGAGAAAACCAGGGAGGUAAAUUGCAGUGAUUCAUCGCGGGCAGAUCAGAGGCAGGAAAUGAGAGUUUGCUGCCUGCCCUGUGCCCGACGUGGGCUCGGGCUCGCCUGGGCCUGGCCGACGGCGAGGGCCUGACGCCCACGGGUCGAGCAUCCCUGCACCGCAGCAGGAGCUGCCGGAGGAGCCACCCCAGGGAAGGAAAACAACGGACGAAGGCCAAGAGCCGGAGCGGGGGGAAUUUUUUUGCCUGCGUUUCUCCGGAGCCAUCCAAGCCAGCUGUCCGGACCGUGACUGGAGGCUCCCGCACCAUCACCCUGGGUGGCUUUGGAUAAUUUGGAUGCAGCACCCAAGCCUCUUAACCCCAUCCCGAUCCAGCCUUCACCCCCAAACCCCACUGCCAUGAAGAAGAAGCCAGCCAACGGGAGGGGGCCGGAUCCUGCGGCCCCCCAGCAGCGAGCCCGGGGCAUCACCAAGCCAGCAGAGUACGUGGGCUCUUUCGCGGUGGACGACUUGGACCUGCAGCAGCAAGUGGGGCGGCUGGAGGAGCAGCUGCGGGCACUGAAGGACUGUCCCAGGAGGAGGUCGGUGGUGCUGAGGUUCAGUUUGCAGGGGCUGAAGGUCUACGGCAGUGACGGGGAGACACUGCUGAUGGCACACGCUCUCCGUCGGAUCCUGUACAGCACAUGGCGACACGCCGACCACCAGUUCGCCUUCGUGGCCCGCAAUCCCCGCAGCCCCGCCAGCCCCCUCUUCUGCCACCUCUUCGUGGGGCUCCCAGGCGAGGUCCAGACCCUGCACCUCUUGCUCUGCCGCUCCUUCCAGCUCUGCUACCUCCUGGCGCACCCUGAGGAGCAGGCGGGCGAGGGGGAGCCCCCGGGGACCGGGGUGCUGCGGGAGCCCCUCAACCCCGAGGAGGUGUCACGCAACGUCAACGCCCUCGUCUCCUUCCGACGCCUGCCCGCGCCCGCCGGCCUCGGCUCCCUGGGCGCAGGGGAGCGGCGGCCAGAGGCAGAGGGCAGAGCCGGCACCUGGCGCCUGGGGAACCCCUACUGCUCCCCGGUUCUGGUGCGCAAAAAAGCCAUCCGCAGCAAAGUCCUGCGCUCGGGGGCUUACCGGGACUGUGGGGGCGAGAGCCAGCUCCACCAGCCGCCCCGUGACGCCGCGGCGGCGGGAUGGGAGAGCAAAGGGACAAGGAGCUUGGCCUUCCUCCCUGAAAAUGAGAGCAUCCUCGCCGAGAGCGUGUGGGCCUUCGCCGGCAUCGCCAGGGAUGUCGGGAUCACGCUGCUGCGGCGGGACGUCCCCGGAGCCUUUCUCCUGCGCCCUGAGCCUGGCCUGGCCAAGCGCUGGUGCCUGUGGGUGCGGGCGCCCUGCGGCAUCGUCCCCUACUGCCUCUUCAGGACCCACCAGGGCAGGUUCUGCGUGGAGAUGGCCUCGGAGGCGGUGAAGGUGAUCGUCCGCUGCCGGCCCAUGAACGAGCGUGAGAAGGCUCUCGGCUGCAAGGCGGUCGUCAGCAUGGAGAGUGCACGGGGCCAGUGCUUCCUCCAAAACCCCGCCGCCACCGGCGAGCCCCCGAAGCAGUUCACCUUCGAUGGGGCGUACUACCAGGAGCACAGUACAGAGCAGAUCUACAACGAGAUCGCCUACCCACUCGUGGAGGGUGUCACCGAAGGCUACAAUGGCACCAUAUUUGCCUAUGGCCAGACUGGCAGUGGGAAGUCAUUCACCAUGCAGGGAGUUGUGGAUCCUUCUAUACAGAAAGGCAUAAUACCCAGAGCAUUUGAACACAUUUUUGAGAGUGUACAGUGUGCUGAAAAUGCCAAGUUCUUGGUGAGAGCUUCCUACCUGGAGAUUUACAACGAAGACAUACGAGACCUCCUAGGAGCUGAUACCAAGCAGAAGUUGGAGCUGAAGGAGCACCCAGAGAAAGGGGUGUACGUGAAGGGGCUCUCUCUGCACACUGUGCAUAGUGUGGUCCAGUGUGAGCAGAUCAUGGAGACAGGCUGGAGAAACCGAGCAGUGGGUUACACCCUCAUGAAUAAGGACUCUUCCCGCUCCCACUCCAUCUUUACUGUCAAUAUGGAAAUCUACACUGUAGAUGAGCAAGGGCAGGACCACCUCAGGGCUGCAAAACUCAAUUUAGUGGAUCUGGCAGGAAGCGAGAGACAGUCAAAAACUGGAGCCACAGGAGAGCGGCUCAAAGAGGCCACGAAAAUCAACCUCUCCCUCUCAGCUCUGGGCAACGUCAUUUCAGCCCUGGUUGAUGGCAGGUGUAAGCACAUCCCGUACCGAGACUCAAAGCUGACCAGGCUACUGCAAGACUCCCUCGGAGGGAAUACCAAGACCCUGAUGGUAGCAUGCUUAUCUCCAGCUGAUAACAACUAUGAUGAAAGCCUCAGUACUUUGCGCUAUGCUAAUCGAGCGAAAAACAUCAAGAACAAGCCCUGUAUCAAUGAGGACCCCAAGGAUGCUCUGCUGAGGGAGUAUCAGAAGGAGAUUAAGAAGCUGAAGGCCAUUCUAGCUGAACAGAUGAGUGCGCAUAACUUGUCAGGGCUUCUGCCUGCUGAAACUGCUCACCUGGCAGCGAAGCCAGCACCCCUCCUCAAACCCCAGUUAGAUCCUGAAGCAGAGAAGCAGCUGAUCAGAGAAGAGUAUGAGGAGAGGCUGGCCCAACUAAAGGCCAGCUACGAAGCAGAGCAGGCGUCGCGUGCCCGCCUCGAAGAGGACAUCAGCAGCCUGAGGAAUCACUACGAUCUCAAGCUGUCUGCUCUCGAGGAGAACCUCAGGAAGGAAGCAGCGGCCAUGAGGACUGAAACUACUCCUGACAAGACACCUUUGCCUGAAGACUCUGUUGCUGCAGCAGAUGAAGAACUAACGUCAGCCCAGGACCCAGCAGCACCUCGGACUGUCCAAGACACUGGUGGUAUGAGCGGAGGGACUGCUGGAGCAGAGGUGGCUGUCACUGCUGAGGGGAUUUCAUUGCCUGCAGACCAGCAGCAGGUGCUCGCCAGGCUGCAGAUACUCGAGCGACAGGUGGUAGGGGGGGAACAGGCUAAAAACAAGGACCUCAAAGAAAAGCAUAAACGCCGGAAAAAAUACGCGGACGAGCGGAGGAUGCAGCUGGUGACCGCACUGCAGCAAUCUAAUGAGGACAGCAGUGACUGGGUUCUGCUUAAUGUCUACAACUCCAUCCAGGAGGAGGUUCGAGCCAAGAGCAAGCUUCUGGAGAAGAUGCAGAAGAAGCUGCAGGCUGCCGAGACCGAGAUCAAAGAUCUGCAGUCGGAGUUUGAGCUGGAAAAGAUCGAUUACCUCAGCACUAUCCGCCGCUUGGAGCGAGACCUGAUGCUCUUCCAGCAGCUGCUGGAUCAGGUGCAGUCCCUCGUCCGGCGCGACUGUAACUACAGCAAUCUGGAGAAGAUCAAGCGCGAAUCCGUCUGGGAUGAGGAAACCAGCUGCUGGAAAAUUCCACAGCCCCUCAUUCAAAAAACCUGCCUGCCCGCAGCAGUUCCAGCCCUGCCACAGACCAAACCUGCCCAAAAGAGCCCUUCAGCCGAGAGCCAAGAGCGAACCGUAUGGUGUUAUACCCCUACCAGCCUGAGGAAGACCGCUACCAGCUGGUGCUGAACAGGAGUGACAGCCAGACCGUCGCCAGCAACUACUUCCGACCCCGGCGAGCCAGCCGCAUCCUCCCCCCCGACCCAACUGAGAACCGAGCAAUCUCGGGGCCGGAGGGGGCUCCCAGCGGUGCCUCCGCCAUGCCCCGGCCCUUCCGCCUCCAAGCCCUCACCGUGGUCCCUCCAACCACCACCAAGCGUAAAAAGGGCAAAGCCGGAUCCGUCGGCCGCCCCCUCUGACUCCUGCCACUCCCAAGGCGUCCGGCAACGCAGGAAGACGCCAAAUCUCUGUGGUUUUGCACCAAAACGUUCUCGCUUCUACAUCGUGGGACAGAGGGCGAGCUCGCUGUCGCCAUGUGCUGUUGCGUCCUGUACCCCCCAACCCUCCGCUGCAAUAAACCAGUCUGACACCGCCA